GCCAGGCGUGGUGGCCCAUGCCUGUAAUCCCAACGGCUUAGGAGGCUGAGGCAGGAGGCUCAUGAGUUCAAAGUCAGCCUCAGCAACUUAGUGAGGCCCUAAGCAACUCAGUGAGACCCUAUCUCUA
rnacentral:sRNA from 1 species